ensembl:lncRNA
CGACUGCGGCAAGCGUGGACCCCGGCCCGGUCUUUCCUUCCCUCCCAAGGGGCUGUAAUCAUUGCCAUGCUGGUGUCCUGGACUCCAUGCGCCGACACACCGCCGUGGAGGAGGAGAGGAUGUGUGUGUUUGUGUGAAAAGCACACCUGGCAGAGAAGGAGACCUAUAACCCCGACCCUCCAUCGGCUGACCCGGACCCCAACCCCCGUCUCUUCACCCCCUCUCGCUCCGCCCUGCAUCCCACCUUCUUUCCUUCCCUCCUUCCCGAGCGCCCCGAGGGGAGAGAUGGAUCUGUGUCUGGUGCGGGUGAUGUCACUCUUGGCAUGCUGAGGUUUGAGAGUUCAGAGGAGUGAACUGGAGGAACUAUCACACUUUGUUUACA